rnacentral:lncRNA from 1 species
UGAGCCAACUCGCUCCAAGGUUUCUGCAAUGGCAGCAAGGUUCUGCCAGUGCUACACAUGCAUAGGCAUGGCCACUGACCACUCAGCUGCCAGUCCCACCUGGAAUAUUCUGGCUCUGCCAUUUUUGCCUGAGGAAUAGUCGGUGUAUAAAGGCCCCGUAGCACAGUUCAAAUUCCAUUUGCAAUGCAGCCAGCACAUACCCCACUCCUAGCUGGGCCCUGCCCAGCUGAAACUACUCCCUGUGGCAUUCACCCCUGUGGCCUUAACUCAAAAGUCCUCAGCUCAGUCUGUGUAAUCUGCCUGCUGAAAUCCUGGAAAGAGGGAUGGAAGGGAGAAAGAGAAGGAAGAGAGGGAGAGGGAGGGGGAAGGAGGGGGAAAGAGGUAGAGGUUAGAAGAGAGACAGGGAUCAAGGAAGGGAGGCAGGGAGAAAGAAAGAGAAUUUCUUUUACAUCGUUUUUACCCACCCCAAACAUUAGUUGGACACUAACUAUGUCCUAAGCACUGUCGCAGAUAAAGCAAAGUAUAAGAUGUAUAACCCCUUGGCUGAGUGCAAUGGCUCACGCCUGUAAUCCCAACACUUUGGGAGGCCAAGGUAGGAGGAUCCCUUGAGGCCAAGAUUUGGAGACCAGCCUGCGUAACAUAGUGAGACCCCUCCCGCAUCUCUACAGAAUAUAUAUAUAUUAGCCAGGUGUGAUAGUGCUCGCUGUAGUCCCAGCUACCUGGGAGGCUGAGGCAGGAGGACUGCUUAAGCCCAGGAGUUCAAGGUUGCGGUGAGCUGUGAUCAUGCCAUUGCACUCCAGCCUGGGUGACAGAGUGAGACCCUGUCUCUAAAAUAAAUAGAUAAGAUGUAACCUUUAGGCUCAAGUCAUUUCCAAUCUAGUCAGGAGAAAAAAAAAAAGCCAAACACAACAAUUUACUCAAGCACUUAAUUUGAUGCCACAGGUCACUAUGGCUGUGCAAAUGCCGGGAAGAGAGAGACAGCUGAGAGCUGGAGGAGGAGAUGCUUCGUGGAGGAGCUGGAAGCUGAGGCAGACCCCGAUAGAGAAGUCGAAUCUGAACCAGAGGAGUCGGGUGUUUGUCAGUUUCCCAUAGACUCAACAUUGAAUCUUGGCCCCUUCCACGUCCAAGGAACAGGCCCUUGCUUGGGUUCCAUCAUCGGUGAAGGUCCCAUUUGUACAUCUUUCCACCCAUCUCCACUAAAAAUACAAAAAUUAGCCAGGCAUGGUGGCACACCCCUGUAAUCACAGCUACUCAGGAGGCUGAGGAAGGAGAAUCGCUUGAACCUGGGAGGUGGAGGUUGCACUGAGCCGAGAUCGUGCCACUGCACACCAGCCUGGGUGACAGAGCAAGACUCUGUCUUAAAAUAAAUAAAUAAAUAAAUAAAUAAAUGGAAUCCUAUAGUAUGUGACCUUUGUGCAUGGCUUCCUUCACUUAGCAUUAUGUUUUUGAGGUUUAUCCGUAUUGUAACAUGAAUCAGUACUUCAUUCCUUUUUAUAGCUUAAUAAUAUUCUGUUAUAUGUCUAUGCCACAAUUUGUUUAUCCAUUCAUCUAUUGAUGGACAUCUGGGCUGUUUCUGCCUUUUGGCUAUUGUGAAUAGUGCAGCUAUAAACAUGUGGGUACAUGGAUUUGUUUGGUCACCAGUUUUCAAUUCUUUUUUUUUUUUUAAGAAAUGGGAUCUUGCUAUGUUGCCCAGGCUGGAGUGCAGGGGCUAUUCACAGGAGCAAUCAUCAUUGCCUACUCAGCCUCAAACUCCUGGCUUAAGUGAUCCUCCUGCCCCAGUCUUCUGCACAACUGGGACUACAAGCACAGGCUACACGCUCCUGGCUGUUUUCAAUUCCUUUGGAUAUAUACCUAGGAGUGGAAUUGCUAGAGGGCCAUUUGAUGAUAGAAAGAGCGUGCUUAUCUUAAUAUUUGCAAGAUUGCUUUCUAAAAUCCAGUCCUUUUCUCUCAAAUCUGGUAGUGGCACUGAUCUAUGGUUGACAUAGUUCACCAGCAAUGCAACAGUUUUCCUUAAGUAUAGGAACCCUCCUAAACUCAGCACUUUGUGAUGUAGGGAUAUUUCUCCCUCAUGCCUGCACCAUACGUCUCAGCUAUAAACUCCCAACUCCGUCAGGAGACUGCUUAUUUGAACAAAGACUGUAAGUACUCAAAGAGCCCCAAGGUCCGGAGAAGGCUGCCAAGACCUGGCGCACAGACGAGUACAGAACAGACCUCAAUUUAAGGUUCCAGGAGAGAAAGAAAGCUGUGCUUUGUGGUCCUGGAUUGAUACGAAAAGAUUUAGCACUUUCUCUUAUUCACCAAAUAUUUCUAAGCACCUACUGUGUGCCAGGUACCAUUUUGUGCUGGGAGGCUGCAAUAGAAAACAAGAGAGAAAAUGUCCCUGUCCUCACAACUUAUAUUGUUAGAGAUGGAGAAACGAUGAAGGAAAUAAAAGUGGAAAGUGGUUCUAGAAGGAAGAGGCGGGCUGCUGGGUCAAAGACUGUUGCAAAGUCAACAUAAGGAGAAGACAGAUCCAUGAGCAAAUGCCACAUGUCCUCUCCUUCAUGGGGUGUGGCUUUGGGUUUGUGUGAGGUGGGACAGAUUGCUGAGCCCCUGCAUGAACCAGACCCUAGAAAGGCGAUGCACCAGGGAGAAGAGGCUGGAAAAAUCCUGCUCAUUGGCCCAGGGAAAUAAUGAGCAAGCUGAUGUGUGCCCAGGAUCCUGAGUGAGGAAAAAUAAAUCUCCUGUUUAAAAAUAAAAGAAGUUUGGCAGUUCCUCGGAAAGUUAAAUAAGAAUUACCAUAAGACCCAGCAAUUCCACUACGAGGUGUGCACUCCAAUGGCUGGAGGGAGGGACUCAAGCAGAUACAUGUACACCAGGGUUCGCAGCAGCAUUCAUAGCAGCUAUUUACAAGGGCCCAAAGGUGGAAACAACCCAGAUGUCCAUCAGCAGCUGAAUGGAUAAACAAAACAUGGUACAUAUAUUUCGUGGAAUAUU